ACGGGUAUUUCAGUAAGUUACCGACGCUCCCACCCCCAAGUUACCCCAUGUAUUUUUUAAACCUAUUUAUUUUUUAGCUUGAUUGCAUCGAAAGCAUAUGGCUUAUAUAAACGCUCUCGAGUCUGUUUGCUGGGCCUAGAACCAGUACUUGGUGUCUUGGGGGAGAUCUAAAGAACGCUCCCACGUAGGGGAUCGAACCCAUGACCUCUUGGUCGCUAGGCGGACACCAUAUCCAUUACACCACAGCCACCCCAUGUAUUUGCGAUAUCAGUAAAACAUUACACUUCUACAAUGGCAUUUAUUAAUAUGGAUAAUUAAAAUAUAAUUUUGUUUGUUACUGAUACAAACUAGCACUACACACUGGAGAUUUUGUUAAGUUAUGCAAAGCAGGUAUCAACAUUUCAUGUAAUUUUACAUAUAAACAAUCUGUUGGGUCAUUUUCUAACAUAAAUUAACGUUCUGUUACAGAAUUUCAGUAAUUCUACACAUUGGAGCCUCCACUCACACUUGUCAAGAUCAGGUCUUGGCUUUGAAAAUGUUCUGACCUCUGCGAGGGUCCCCGCCCCACUGCCACUCAGACUUGGGUAUGAAAUACGCUGGAGAGCCGGCCAGCGUCCCGUCAUCUCGCAGCAGGGCCUUCUUCAUGGCAUCACAGUCCAUGUCUACGCAGUCCGCUGGGUUGAUCUUACUGUAGUUCAGUGCAAACACAGUUUGUAACAGUUCAUCACUUAAAAGGCUUAGCGAUAUAGAAUGUGAAAGAUAGUCUGCUUAAACAUUAAGGAGGCAAAAGAAAAUCUGCUUAGAAAUUUAGAAGGUGAAAAGAAAAUCUGCUUAGCAAUUUAGAAAGUGUUGUUUGAUGAAAAGUGUAUACAAAAAGAAAAAAGGAUGUCACAAAAGCUCUCACAGAGAUCUUGUGCUAAGAUGAGUUAAACAAAAUGAGAAAUACUCAUUUUCAUGCAUUAAAAUGGGAUUACUCUUGUAGUUUUUUCCUGUAGUUCAAGUGGAAACACAGUUAGUUAAUCCAAAAAACAAGAAAUACAAAUAUACUUACAUUAAAACAGUAUAAAUUAUGAUUGAUAAAUAAGUCAGCUUUGUUAAAUUCAUUGUAGAAUCCUGCAUACUUACCCAACAGUUGGUCGUGGGUAGUACAACAGGAAGUUGUCAUCCACAUCCACUUUUAGAUUGGAAGAGGAUGACAAAUAAAAUUGAAGAUCGUCAUUAUUAGUGCUGAGAGAUAGGGCGUACGAACACUGUCCAAAGUGUGCAAACACGGUUCCUGGAAAAGUAUCCACGAAAUUGUGUAUACAAAUUAAUACAAUAAGCAUGGUCAUUUAGACAUUUAUAAUAAAGCUGUACCCUCUAAAGAACUUGUUUUGAUGCAGAAGAUCCUUAGUAUUAGAAAAUCAACGACGAUACUUUGUGCAUAUUUUUUUGGAAAUUCCAAAAAUUCAAUUUCAAAGAAUAGUAUCCCAUCUUAUAUUUCAAAUCCUUUUUUUUUUAAAUUUCUAUAUAAAAAUAAAUAAAUAAAUAAAUAACCAAAUAAAUUCAUGCAUUUUUAAAUAUAUACAUAAAUGUUACUUUUUUACCUGUUACACUCCCUCCUCCACAGAUUGGGUUGUAACUCAUAAUGUUCCCGCAUGGUUUAAAGGGAGCACCAUUGCCGCCACCAGUUAUCUGGGGGAAUAGUAGACCCAAACGGGCUCCAUUUGGCCCCUUAUCUCCUCGACAAUGCCCGCUGUUGGUCAUGUAAACUCCGCUCGGUGACUGCAUAUUGGCGCAAUUAUCGGUCGACCCGAUCAAAAUGCUGUCUGUGACAUCCACUCUCUGGUCACCACAUUCAUGGGUUAGCGGGUUUGGACCAAUAACCAUAGGGAAAAUGCUAACCUGAUUAUCUGCCACAAUGAUUUUAUGAAGAUUUACAUUCAGGUCAUUCUGGUAGUAGAACCCAUAAUCAAUACUACGGAAAGCAGCUAUGUCCGAGAUUCGAACGCAUGUUUGGGUAUCUUUCUGUUUCAGAAUGUCCUCCUUGGGGGGAGGGAAGACCCCGUAGCCCAUUAGGUUGCCCACAGCGUAGUUCAGCACUGCAGGGGUAUAGGGGUCAUCGCAGUCCUGGCCAGGCACCCUGUAGCCAACACGCUCUGAGCCGGCUACAUAAUUGUCAGCCAUGUGGAGACCGUGCGAGCCUAUGGCGUAUAUACCCGCCUCGUAGCGAAUGUUAAAGGGCUCAUUGCGUCCAUCAUAAGAUCCAGUCCACAAAAGCGGGAAAGGGUUAAAUGUGGAACACAUACAUGUAUGCUGGUACUUGAGUGGACUUGUCAGUGUAACUGUUCCCGCAGCUGAGUCAACAGAAGCUAUGUUCACUGUCUCCAGCUCAGUAGGAAUCAGAGAGGUAGAUGUCACAACCACCGUAUCACCAGCCCUCCACAGUUUGAUGUCAUCGCCAGUCACUUUCAGAAUGGUGUCCCCUAUGUUUGCCGUCUGCGUCAGGAGCGUGUAACUCUCGCCGACAUCUCGACCGUGUAAUUCCAGACCGCCAAAAACAGCUGUGUGGAGUAAUACAUUUGUUAACAAUUGAGAUUGGAAAGUGAACAUUUUUCUACAGUCAUUUAGACAUUUUGCCAUUUAAAGUACUAGUUAUGCUAUGGAAUAGAAUUGUGGAGUUUAGCUGUAGCAAGGUCUGAUAAUUGUAUUAUAUCUUAUAUCUUGAAGCCUAAAUAUUUACAGAUUUCAUAUUCGGAUUACAAAUGAAAGAUGUGUUAUGUAAUGAAUUAUCGUAAAAUAUUGCAACAAAUGUAACAAUUGGAUUCAAAGUGUUUAAAUUGGUUACAAACCAAUAGCUUUGUUCCCAAUGGCGAUGCCUUCGAUCUCGGUGUAGGCAGGUGACAUUGCAUUGCCUAACAACACAAUAUUGGCUGUUCCAAGCAUGGGGUUGUUAGGCCAACCUACAUGGAAGCGACCCCCAAUGAUGAUGAGGAAUUUGACCUUGAACUCAUACGUGACCCCCUCAGAGUUGUAGUCUAUUUCAAGGCCUCCUUCUACGCGAACUGUGCCAAGCUCAAUUGCUGUAGUAGUCUUUAUAACAAUCCAUUUGUCUGCAAUUUUGAUAGCCAUGUAUUUAUUUUUUUCCAAUAUUUAGUUAUAACUGUAACUUUUGUUUUAUGUUAGUUAUUAACACUGUAUGAGGUUAUCACCUGGUGCUCCUUCUUUUAAAGCUGUGACCAUCAUAUUUAUAAAUAUGUAUAUGUGUCACUGUUAUUUAUUAUUGUCACAUGUAAUUUGAGUGUUGUGAAGUAAAGAACAAAGAUAGUUGAACCAUUAAGCGUUUCGAAGUGUAAGUCGACUGAAUGUGGACUUCAACUAUACUUUUCAUCCAUAUUACUGUAACAAUCAAUUCGCUUUACAACUUUACCAUUUUAAUUAUUUUCAAAUUUUCAUACCCUCAGUAAUGAGCACAUUCUCUCCAGUGGCAGGCAUGACCCCAGUGCCGUUGCUUCGAACAAGUCCAGCCUGGUCACGCGUCCAGAUAUCCUCGUUCCAGAGAUUAAAGGGGUUGGGUCGCUCAGUAGGGGGCUCUUGUUUGUCUUUGGGUGUUGGUGGGACACAGCCGGCAAAGUAACACUUCUCUAUCUUCAUGUCCAGCUUGAUAUCAGUAUUGAACACACGGACACUACCCCUCUUGCUUCGGGCAGGACCAGUUACUUUAACAACAAAAUGUGUCAUAGUUUACACAGUUUACACACAGCUUUAUAUGAUAUGCCUUGUUACUAAAAAUUAUUGAAUACAGUCAUCUUUAUUUCAAGAAAACAUAAUUUGGCAGUUCAACUAAUACUCAAAAUAUUAUGUUCACCUGCGAAUUCCACAUGGUUAUUGGCCGGAUUGAACCACCAGUCCCCGGAGGAAGGUCCCUGUGCGCAGGUGAACUGGGCUGCAGACUGGUUUUUUCCUGUUUGUCCAUUCAGGGCGACAAUAUCUGGUUUUUCUAGAACUCUCAAUGUGAGGAUGAGACAAUCACCAGCCUAGAAUACAAACAAAAGAAGUAAUUCCAUUGGAAAGGUGAUUACCUCCAGCUCGUUUAUCUGCCCAGUGAAAGAGAUGUUCGUCAUUUCCUCUGCACCUUCAAAUGUAAUCGUCGUCGUCUCACCACCCAUGAGGACGGCCAUCCAGCCAUCUUUAUGUGUGAUACGUUUGACUCGAAAGAAGCCCACGCUCGAGCCAUGCUGGCUAGUCAGGGUCAAAUUCUUUCCCUUAAGUGAUGCCGGUUUAAUAUUGUUAAAGGCCAGGCGGUGGAAUUUGACGGUGGCCGGACAUACUAGAGGUUCCAAGAACUCCAUAUCAUUAUUUUUGAAUUUUCCGGUGCAGUUUGCGGAACAACCGGGAGCGUUAUAAUAUGUUUCCCAGUUAGGCAGUACUUUAGAGUUUGGUGUGCCGCAGAGUGACCCAUCGGUGUCCUCUAUGAUUCCCUCAUGAGCCCAUCUGAAGUGGAUACGGUAGGGUGUAUUUUCGAAUUGUAAGCCUGAUGUCUGAUAGUUAAAACCACCGCAUUUGUCACUGCACGUACCAUCAAUCUUUGUAAACUUUAUGGCAACAGCAGAGUCCCCAUUUGCA